AAAUGAUUUUAAUAACAUUCUUAAAAAUAAUAUUUUUUUUAUUUUUAACUGAUAGUAUAUUGGCUAAGUUUCUAAACAAUACAUAUAAUUAUACUGUACUUUUAAGUUCGUAAGCAUUUAAACUGUGCUGUAUUAUGUAGUUUUUCUCACUUUUUCACUACCAUAAAUACGACAGCUCAAAGCGGACUUAACUCUGCCUUUGUGAUUAUGUGUACGUUCCUGGGGUAGAGUCUUACAGGUUAAGAUAGUGGUAGACCAUCAGGCAGGGCCUUGAAGACACUGGUGCUGAUGUCUCCCGACGAGAGAGACUUCCUCUGAAUAUUUGAAAAUGUUGCCACAUAAUUAGUUUUACUUAGUGGCGUCAAAACCAACCUGUUGUUGACUAGGUCACUUUUUCCAAAAGAUGCUCACUCCAGCCGCUGUGACAAGUUCAACCCGGUCUUCUCUGAGGUCCUUCCAAUCCUUUCACCUCUAUCCUCUUCAGUCUUUCAGCAAAGCAAGAAGGUCGACCCUGGUGCUCACUACAUACUUAGCAACACUAGAAACCACUGUCUUUCACAAGGAAUUUGAUAGCCAACUCUUUCACCAUUAAUGCCACUAAUAAGAGCAUGCCUUUUCAUACUACAUUUAGCUUACACAAAUUAUACUGUAAGCUCCUAUAAGUGACUUCUGUCGUCCUUGGUAAUCAAUAUCAAUACUCGUUCUUACAUCAGAACCCAGCCUGUCAUACGUGCUCAAAAUAUUCAUUGAAUUUAGCUCAUUGAAGCUAACAGGAAACUCAUCAUCUUCUUGAUGUUCAUGAACUACUCAGUGACUUUCCUUCAGAAAUAACCCACGCUCUCAAAACUGGUAAGCAGAAAGAUGAGAUUAUAUAUUGGGUCACAAUGUGCACAUAUAGGUAGGUAUUCCUUGUAGACAGUGUCUCAGAGUAAGUUUGGAGGACAGUCAUUGAAAGGUGAAAAGUUCAGUCCCUAGAUGUCAGAGACUGUCAUUUCCCUAGUGAUGUUCUCACGUCUAAGGAAAACAAAAGUUACUGAAACAGAACUCAGAACUUCAGAAGCUUGAAAAGAAUGUAAUCAACUGGGCAAACAUUGAGAGGAUCCAUUGAAAGCACUGCCUAUGGGGAAGGAAGCUCCACUCAGAAGGCUCUGAGUAUGCCCAACCCUAAUGGCAAAGCUAACCCCGGAGGACACAGAAGUUUUAGGCAAAGACCUGUGAGUUUUCUGGUACUUUUGGCAAGCCCAUUCCUGAGACGAGAUGGGCACCUCAGGAAGCCUUAACCUGAUCCAGGAGCACAGCCUUGAGUCGUAGCCCCAUUCUGAUUCUAUGGUCACUAGGUAACCUUCUCAUUAUGAGUCUCCCUCCCAGGCAGCCCUGUCAACCAGGAAGAAAAUGGUGUUGCUAUAAGGAGCCAUCUGUUUCCUGCUGAGCCCCCAACAGAGACACUUUCCAAUCAAGAAUGUACUGCAGCGAAUUCAAGAAGUACCAGUGUGGAACAUUAUAAGUGCCUCUGGGAGCAUCAACAGAAUAUUCAACAGAAUUUUCAUUUGUGAAUAUGGCUCGCACCAACAAAGGUACAGGGUCUCUCACUGAACCCAGGACAAGGCAGCCAUCUUCCAUCGAUGGGAUGGAGUUAACAAGCAGGUGUGUGUGUGACCACACCGGGUUUUCCCACGGGUGCUGAUGACUUGAACUCAGGGCCUUCAACUUGUCUAAAAGUAUCCUCCCACUUCUCGUGAUCUGUGGGAAAGAAUACAAAGUGUGAACAGAUAAGGAAAAUACACAAAGAAAUACAAAGUAGCAAGCCCAGCUCAGAAAAGUCCCAUGCUGCCAAAUGGUCAGGAAGGUUUAAUUUUGUCCAAAAAAAAAAAAAGUCUGAAAAGCUGUAACAAAGCCCAAAAGCCAAGGUGCCACAUGUAGGCUGCAGAUGUGAACAGCGGCAGAAACCGUCCUUUCUCUGGGUUGAUGUAAAAAGACAACCCAAGAGUCUCACCGAGGCACACGCAAAACCAGCCAGGAAUGACGCUUUGAAGCCAUCCUUUAAAUGAACUGUCUCGGUGUCCUACAGUUCAUCAAAGGUUUCCUGUCUCUGAAAGCCAAAGAUAUUCCUAACACGGGAUCACUGAGUUCCCUGAGGAUGGCAAGGCACGGCAAGGAUCAGUGGCUUUAAAUCAUGCCCCAAACUUAUUAUUUGGGCCUUUUAAGAUCUCAGGAUCUCAGAAGAAUUCCUGAAGACUGAGGUUCCAGGCCAUAGCAAUUCCUGAGUGUGGCAUUACCACACAACAGACACUCCAGGAACUGUACUUGAGGGAGUGACUCUACUCUUGGAACCUAAUAAAUACUUGUUUGUGUGAUA